rnacentral:rRNA from 1 species
GACGAACGCUGGCGGCGUGCUUAACACAUGCAAGUCGAACGGAAAGGCCCUGCUUUUGUGGGGUGCUCGAGUGGCGAACGGGUGAGUAACACGUGAGUAACCUGCCCUUGACUUUGGGAUAACUUCAGGAAACUGGGGCUAAUACCGGAUAGGAUCUCCUGAUGCAUUGUGGUGGUUGGAAAGGUUCGGCGGUUGGGGAUGGACUCGCGGCUUAUCAGCUGGUUGGUGGGGUAGUGGCUUACCAAGGCUUUGACGGGUAGAAGGCCUGCGAGGGUGACCGGACACAUUGGAAAUGAGAUCGGGACGCAACUCCUACGGGAGGCAGGAGUGGGGAAUAUUGCACAAUGGGCGGCAGCCUGAUGCAGAAAAGCCGCGUGCGGGAUGAAGGCCCUGGUGUUGGAAACCGAUUUCGCAUGUGACAAAGCGAGAGUGCCGGUAAUGGGUAAAGAAGCACCGGCUAACUCCGUG